rnacentral:rRNA from 1 species
GAUGAACGCUGGCGGCGUGCCUAAUACAUGCAAGUCGAGCGAACAGACGAGGAGCUUGCUCCUCUGACGGGAGCGGCGGACGGUUGAGUAACACGUUGAUAACCUACCUAUAAGACUGGGAUAAUGUCUUAAAACCUGAUCUAAUAUCAGAGAAUAAAUUUAACUGCAUUGUACAAUAGUUAAAGACAGUUUUGCUUGCGCUUAUAGAUGUAUCCGCGCCGCAUUAGCUACUUGGUAAGGUAACGGCUUACCAAGGCAACGAGGCGUAUCCGACCUGAGGGGGUGAUCAGCCACCCUGGAACUGAGCCACGGUACAGACUCCUACGGGAGGCAGCAGAAGGGAAUGUUCCGCAAUGGGCGGAAGCCUGACGGAGUCCCGCCGCGUGAGUGAUGAAGGUCUUCGGAUAGUAAAACUCUGUUAUUAGGGAAGAACAAAUGUGUAAGUAACUAUGCACGUCUUGACGGUACCUUAUCAGAAAGCAACGGCUAACUACGUG